GUUUCAGGGCGAGGUGCAAUUCCUCACCGGCGGUGAUAAGGCAAAUACGCUUUUUAGUCCGCGAACAUGCGUCCACGCAUGCCGAUGUGGUGAAAUUCCACGACCGACGGUAUAGUCCGGAUGAGAGAAA
rnacentral:ncRNA from 1 species